rnacentral:lncRNA from 1 species
AUGUGGAUGAAAAAGAAACACGUGGCAGUUACACAAAGUGCUGUCACUAUAGCCUUACUUCCGUUAUUGCAAGUCGAGAAACCAAACCUUGAAGAGCUGUGUCUAGGGUCACACAGCCAGGAAUUUGUCGGCUUGAGGGCAGGGCUAGGCAUUGAGGGACAGUGGGACUUGGAUGAGCAGACGCAGUGGGGAGAGAGCUCCCGGGCUAGACAAGGAGAAGAUGGUACAGAAUUGCCUGCAGGGGACCGUGGAUAUUCUAAGUGUGAUGAAGAGUGA